rfam:Triticum aestivum genome assembly, contig: Triticum_aestivum_CS42_TGACv1_scaffold_526895_6DL
AAUAUACUCCCUCCAUCCCAAAAUUCUUUUUUAAAAUUUGUCUAGAUACGGAUGUGCGUAAUACUAAAACAUGACUUGAUACAUUUGUAUUUAGACAAAUCUAAGACAAGAAUUUUGGGACGAAGGGAGUACUUG